CCAAUAGCGUAUAUUAAAGUUGUUGCAGUUAAAAAGCUCGUAGUUGAAUUUCGGGGUUAGUAAGUUGGUCGUGCCACUGGUAUGUACUGGCUUUACUGAUUCCUCCUUCUUGUAGAACCGUAAUGCCAUUAAGUUGGUGUUGCGGGGAAACAGGACUGUUACUUUGAAAAAAUUAGAGUGUUUAAAGCAAGCUAACGCUUGAAUACAUUAGCAUGGAAUAAUGAAAUAGGACGUUCGAUCCUAUUUUGUUGGUUUCUAGGAUUGACGUAAUGAUUAAUAGGGAUAGUUGGGGGCAUUAGGAUUCAAUUGUCAGAGGUGAAAUUCUUGGAUUUAUUGAAGACUAACUACUGCGAAAGCAUUUGCCAAGGAUGUUUUCAUUAAUCAAGAACGAAAGUUAGGGGAUCGAAGACGAUCAGAUACCGUCGUAGUCUUAACCAUAAACUAUGCCGACUAGGGAUCGGAUGAUGUUAAUUUUAUAAUGACUCAUUCGGCGCCUUACG
rnacentral:misc_RNA from 1 species